CCAUGACCAGGUAGGAAGGAACACACCAUGACCAGGUAGGAAGGAACACACCUUGACCAGGUAGGAAGGAACACGCCGUGACCAGGUAGGAAGGAACACGCCGUGACCAGGUAGGAAGGAACACGCCGUGACCAGGUAGGAAGGAACACGCCGUGACCAGGUAGGAAGGAACACGCCGUGACCAGGUAGGAAGGAACACGCCGUGACCAGGUAGGAAGGAACACGCCGUGACCAGGUAGGAAGGAACACGCCGUGACCAGGUAGGAAGGAACACGCCGUGACCAGGUAGGAAGGAACACGCCGUGACCAGGUAGGAAGGAACACGCCGUGACCAGGUAGGAAGGAACACGCCGUGACCAGGUAGGAAGGAACACGCCGUGACCAGGUAGGAAGGAUCACGCCGUGACCAGGUAGGAAGGAACACGCCUAUGACCCAGGGCUCCUAUUCAUAAUGUUUCUCAGAGUAGGACCAUUGUCCCCUCUUAUCAGCAUGACCUCACCACACAACUCCUAUGUCUGUAGUAUUUUCCCUUUGCGCUGGCUGUCAUAUUUAUAAAUAUGCCCUCUAUUUUUGCGAAACGCUUAGAUAAACAUCUUCGGUAUAGACUACUUCUGACGGUAAAUGUAGUCAACUAGCAGCUGUUAUGGGUUAUGUAUCAAUGUUUGAUUGCUACUUUGUCUCUUUUAUAUUUGUCCCACCAAAAUAUAUUUUGACCACUUGAAAAAUCUAACUGCUACUUUUUGUUUAAACGUUUUCAAUUUGGUAGUCCCAAUAGUCAGUCUAGCCCUCCUCGGCUAGAAUGAUCAAUAUGAAUCUAAUAGCGAUCUAUUGAUGGGACGGGUGCAUGUCAGUCACAUGGCGAGUGAUGACAAACACUGCUAGUUUGACAGUUUGCUGUUUCUCCCGUGUGAUUUGUGUGCGCUGUGGUUGGUUGCAAUCCAAAACAUGUACACGGAGAAUGGAGGGCACGUGAUGCUCCUUCAAUCGUCUCUGUGAAUCUGCACAUCCCAUGUAAUAUAAGUGGUAACAAUGAGUCGAAAUCCACUUAAUCUAGCCUAAUUAUUUCCUGUAGCCAGCUAUAGAGCCAAGGCGCGUAGGCCAUUUACGGUGCUUUGAUUGACAACCGAACAGCAUGUGUUGAUUAGUUAUCAAAUGUCUCAAAUUAACUGAAUAAAGUCAAUCUCCUAUAUCCCUUUGCCAUUCAUAAAUCCUACACCGUAGUUACUUACAUUUACAUUUAAGUCAUUUAGCAGACGCUCUUAUCCAGAGCGACUUACAAAUUGGUGCAUUCACCUUAUGACAUCCAGUGGAACAGCCACUUUACAAUAGUGCAUCUAAAUCUUUUAAGG